AGUGAACGCUGGCGGUAGGCCUAACACAUGCAAGUCGAACGGCAGCACAGGAGAGCUUGCUCUCUGGGUGGCGAGUGGCGGACGGGUGAGGAAUACAUCGGAAUCUACUCUGUCGUGGGGGAUAACGUAAGGAAACUUACGCUAAUACCGCAUACGACCUACGGGUGAAUGCAGGGGACCUUCGGGCCUUGCGCGAUUGAAUGAGCCGAUGUCGGAUUAGCUAGUUGGCGGGGUAAAGGCCCACCAAGGCGACGAUCCGUAGCUGGUCUGAGAGGAUGAUCAGCCACACUGGAACUGAGACACGGUCCAGACUCCUACGGGAGGCAGCAGUGGGGAAUAUUGGACAAUGGGCGCAAGCCUGAUCCAGCCAUACCGCGUGGGUGAAGAAGGCCUUCGGGUUGUAAAGCCCUUUUGUUGGGAAAGAAAUCCAGCUGGCUAAUACCCGGUUGGGAUGACGGUACCCAAAGAAUAAGCACCGGCUAACUUCGUGCCAGCCGCCGCAGUAA
rnacentral:rRNA from 1 species